rnacentral:rRNA from 1 species
UACGUAGGCAGCAAGCGUUGUUCGGAGUUACUGGGCGUAAAGGGUGUGUAGGCGGUUGUUUAAGUUUGGUGUGAAAUCUCCCGGCUCAACUGGGAGGGUGCGCCGAAUACUGAAUGACUAGAGUGCGGGAGAGGAAAGGUGGAAUUCCUGGUGUAGCGGUGAAAUGCGUAGAUAUCAGGAGGAACACCGGUGGUGUAGACGGCUUUCUGGACCGUAACUGACGCUGAGACACGAAAGCGUGGGUAGCAAACAGG